CGUCCAGUGGUCAUUGGGAUCAGCCACUGGCUUGUGGGAUCAUCCAUUGUUUAAUGGGAUCAUCCAGUGAUUAAUGGGAUCAGUCACUGCUUUAUGGGAUCGUCCAGUGGUCAUUGGGAUCAGCUGUUGGUUUGUGGGAUCGUCCAGUGGUCAUUGGGAUCAGCUGUUGGUUUAUGGGAUCAUCCAGUGGUCAUUGGGGUCAGCUGUUGGUUUAUGGGAUCGUCCAGUGGUUAAUGGGAUCAGCCAUUGUUUAAUGGGAUUGUGCAGUGGAUAAUGGGAUCAGCUGUUGGUUUAUGGGAUCGUCCGGUGCUCGUUGGGAUCCGCCAUUGGCUUAUGGGAUCGUCCAAUGGUUAAUGGGAUCGCCCAGUGGUCAUUGGGGUCAGCUGUUGGUUUAUGGGAUCGGCCGCUGGUUUAUGGGGUCGCCUGGUGGUCUUUGGGAUCAGCUGCCGUUCUUGGGGUCCCCCGUUGGUCUUUGGGGUCGUCCAUCAGACUUUGGGGUUCAGCCAUCAUUGGGAUCCCCCAUUAAUCACUGGGAUCCGCCAUCAAUUAAUGGGAACCCCAUUAAUCAUCGGGAUCAUUCAUCGUUCUUUGGGGUCGCUCUUAAUGAGAUCCCCCAUUAAUCACUGGGAUCAGCCAUCAAUUAUUGGGAUCCCCCCUUAAUCAUUGGGAUCAUCUGUCGUUCUUUGGGAUCAGCUACCAAUUAAUGGGAUCCCCUAUUAAUCACCGGGAUCGUCCAUCGCUCCUUGGGGUCGCUCAUCAAUAGGAUCCCCCAUUAGUCACUGGGAUCCGCCAUCAAUUAAUGGGAUCCCCUAUUAAUCACUGGGAUCAUCCAUCGUUCUUUGGGGUCGCUCAUCAAUGGGAUCCCCCAUUAAUCAUUGGGAUCAUCCGCCGUUCUUUGGGAUCAGCCAUCAAUUAAUGGGGUCCCCCGUUAAUCACUGGGAUCAUUCGUUCUUUGGGAUCGGCCAUCAGUGGGAUCCCCUAUUAAUCAUUGGGAUUGGCCAUCAAUUAAUGGGAUCCCCCAUUAAUCAUUGGGAUCAUCCGUUGUCCUUUGGGGUCAGCCAUCAUUGGGAUCCCCCGUUAAUCAUUGGGAUCAGCCGCCGUC